rnacentral:rRNA from 1 species
GACGAACGCUGGCGGCGUGCCUAAUACAUGCAAGUCGAGCGAAGUUUUUCUGGUGCUUGCACUAGAAAAACUUAGCGGCGAACGGGUGAGUAACACGUAAAGAACCUGCCUUAUAGACUGGGACAACUAUUGGAAACGAUAGCUAAUACCGGAUAACAGCAUUAACUGCAUGGUUGAUGUUUGAAAGUUGGUUUUGCUAACACUAUGAGAUGGCUUUGCGGUGCAUUAGCUAGUUGGUGGGGUAAAGGCCUACCAAGGCGACGAUGCAUAGCCGACCUGAGAGGGUGAUCGGCCACACUGGGACUGAGACACGGCCCAGACUCCUACGGGAGGCAGCAGUAGGGAAUCUUCCGCAAUGGGCGAAAGCCUGACGGAGCAACGCCGCGUGAGUGAAGAAGGAUUUCGGUUCGUAAAGCUCUGUUGUUAGGGAAGAAUGAUUGUGUAGUAACUAUACACAGUAGAGACGGUACCUAACCAGAAAGCCACGGCUAACUACGUGCCAGCAGCCGCGGUAAUACGUAGGUGGCAAGCGUUGUCCGGAAUUAUUGGGCGUAAAGCGCGCGCAGGUGGUUUAAUAAGUCUGAUGUGAAAGCCCACGGCUCAACCGUGGAGGGGUCAUUGGAAACUGUUAAACUUGAGUGCAGGAGAGAAAAGUGGAAUUCCUAGUGUAUCUGUGAAAUGCGUACACAUUACGAGCAACACCUUUGUCGAGCGCGGCUUUUAGACCUGUCCCUGACACUGAGGGCUAAAGCAUGUCGCGCGCAUUGGUCAUGAACCCUGGGAAAUUAAAGGGGAAAUUCCAUGUGGAUUUGCUCCUCGGGACCCCCUCUUCUAGGGGGGCCGCCCCCGCCCGCUCUUUUUUCCCCAUUUGGUGGGGAUAUUAACAACAGU